rnacentral:rRNA from 1 species
UACGUAGGGUGCGAGCGUUGUCCGGAAUUAUUGGGCGUAAAGGGCUCGUAGGCGGUUUGUCGCGUCGGGAGUGAAAACACGGGGCUUAACCCCGAGCCUGCUUCCGAUACGGGCAGACUAGAGGUAGGCAGGGGAGAGCGGAACUCCUGGUGUAGCGGUGGAAUGCGCAGAUAUCAGGAAGAACACCGGUGGCGAAGGCGGCUCUCUGGGCCUUACCUGACGCUGAGGAGCGAAAGCGUGGGUAGCGAACAGG